UCCUUGCUGUAACCGUGAAUCAGAAAUUAGGACAAUUUCUACUCUCCCUAUGCGCUGAUUGGUGAUGCAAUAAGCUAACCUUAUCUUUAUUUUUAAACUCAACCACAUAUCCUUCUUUCUAGUUUCCUCCAUGCGCAAGGCAAAGACCAUCUUUAGAAAAAUAAAUUGCUUCUCUUUGAUUCAGCACACAAAACCGUAUACAACAUGCAAGCCUCUACCCUUCCCCUCUGGCUCAAACGACGCAUAACUUGGAGGAGAUGAAAUGCCUCCUUCGAUCUUUACUCAUUCUUACCGGGACCGACCCAGAGUGAGGUCCACACUGUGUGCACUUGGUACAUCUCUGUUUGUAAAUCUUCCCCUACAUGCAGCGGCAACUGACCCCCUUUUUGGAGCCUAGGAAGAGCAUAGGUGAUACUCAGGGUGUGGAGAUUAUUCCCUGCAAAUACCUAGAGAGAAGUUUAGGUCACAUGUGAGUAGAGGUAAACUGAACCUUAAGCCCUUUUAAUUUCAUCUAUUCGGCCUGUAUGGACAUUAAUAAGAAAGUGAAAUUUUGUCAUCCUCUUCCUUUCCUUGGUUCGGUUGGACCUGAUCAAACGAGGACAUGAGGUGCUCUUCUGUUCUGUAUUCGAUGGUAACCGUUUGAUGUUGAUGACGAUCCCCUUUGCAUGCAUAUUGGUAGAUCGAUUUCUCGCAUAGGAGGAGGGGGAAGGUACUGUUUCACUUUUGGUUGAUGCAUUGGAUAUGUCCGGAACAUUUUGGUACGUUUGAGGAGGUGCACAAGCUCUUAGAUAAUUGGACUGUUCGAUGAUGUUUGGAAUGCUUGAGUUAAAAGUAAAAGUGCCAAGGAGGACGGAAGAGCAUUGGAAGACAUGAUAAUAUGGAUAUUUGUUGUUAUGUGCUGCUGUAUGGACUAUUGCUAUUGCUGUUUAUUUGAUGGAUGACUGUAUUAAAUUGAGUAGUUUGGAUUACUGUUGAAUUAUGGUUUUAUUACUGUUUUAAGACUUUUGUGAUCAGCAAGUAUUUUGAAAACAAAUUCCUGAAACAUUUUGCGAAAA